GAUGAAGAACGUAGCGAAAUGCGAUAAGUAAUGCGAAUUGCAGAAUUUCCGUGAGUCAUCGAAUCUUUGAACGCACAUUGCGCCCCCCGGCAUUCCGGGGGGCAUGCCUGUUCGAGCGUCUCCAGGACAAAUCCUCGCGCGAGUGAACGCGCGGUCGUGGCGGAGGUGGCGUGCCCGAGCAGGGCGGCCACCGCGCUGGAAUCCAUGGGCGGACGCCUGCCGCGUGGCCGAGCGUGAUAUGACGCAUUGGCGCUCGUGCGCGGCGAGGCUGCCAGCCCUGGCCCGUCUGUCGGGCGGGGUAGAUCACCACGUGGGAACUCCUCGAAUCAGGUAGGGAUACCCGCUGAACUUAAGCAUAUCAAUAAGCGGAGGA
rnacentral:misc_RNA from 1 species